AGGGACGUGGUGUACGGUGCACGGCUGCAAUCUGUUGUUAAGAAUUGUAACAUGUUAAGCAGCAAGCCGGGGUUCGACUCCCCGCGUCCCAA